rnacentral:rRNA from 1 species
UCCGAAGGGGGCUAGCGUUGCUCGGAAUCACUGGGCGUAAAGCGCACGUAGGCGGAUCGUUAAGUCAGGGGUGAAAUCCUGGAGCUCAACUCCAGAACUGCCUUUGAUACUGGCGAUCUUGAGUUCGGGAGAGGUGAGUGGAACUGCGAGUGUAGAGGUGAAAUUCGUAGAUAUUCGCAAGAACACCAGUGGCGAAGGCGGCUCACUGGCCCGAUACUGACGCUGAGGCACGAAGGUCAGGGGAGCAAACGGG